rfam:Ipomoea nil DNA, scaffold: scaffold2283, cultivar: Tokyo-kokei standard.
GUGGGCGUGCCGGAGUGGUUGUUAGGCAUGACUAGAAAUCAUGUGAGCUUUGCCCGCGCAGGUUCGAAUCCUGCCGCUCACG